AACAUGCAGAGAAGAUUGUUAAGUCUUCACUCUCUUCUCUGACUCAUGAUAUACCACCAGCAUGAGUCCCAUCUGCUUCUUCAGUGCUAGCAGUAAGACCCAUCCACAUGCUCACAAUACUCACUGCUCUCCCUACCUACAACACCACAGUGAAUGGAGUCUAAUUGUAAGGAUGAAUCCACUCGGUUUGGCUGGAACUGGUGCAGUGACAUCUAGCUUUUCUUGCAGUCAUGUAGCACCUAUGGCUUCUUUAAUGUAGGAUAUCACACGGGGCACAGAGAGCAGCCCCCCCCACACACACCUUCAUACCCACCUUGGGUAUAAUCUUCUGGAUUUCCAGGGCUCAGUUCAGACAGAAGCUUCUGACAGACAGAGCAUUCUGUACCCAGGAGAGAAGAUCAUCUCCCCGACCCUCACUAUCCUCAUUAUACUCCCUAAGUGACGGUCUGACUCUGAGCCCCACUCUACACAAAAUUCCGAGUUCUGUAGCUACAGGGAUGACAACUGCAAGCUUCAGAACUUCCUAGUUUUGAAUCUGCAGAAAAUGACAUAGGCCUCCACCCAAUACAUCUCUUAUUACCCCCAUACAGUCAGCUCCUGGAGAACAGACCUCAGAGAUGUGGUGACCACCCUAGUCCCAGGACACAGGAGGCAUUUAAAGGGCUAACCUUGUCCUGGGACCAAAACCUCUGGGUAA